rnacentral:piRNA from 1 species
UGAGAGGACACACUGAGGUACUUAAUGC